rnacentral:ncRNA from 1 species
GAUAACUGGCUUUGAUGACUAAGCAAGCGUUCAUAGCACCAUUGCUGUUUGAUCCUUCCAUAUUGGCUCUUCCUGCCACUGUGAAGCAGAAUUCACCAAGCCUUGGAUUGCGCCCCCACUAAUAGGGAACGGGAGCGAGGUCUAGACCAUCGUGAGACGGAUU